rnacentral:misc_RNA from 1 species
AACGCACCUUGCGCUCCUUGGUAUUCCGAGGAGCAUGCCUGUUUGAGUGUCAUUAAAUUCUCAACCUCAUCAGUUUUGUUAUGAAGCUGUGUGAGGCUUGGAAGUGGGGGUUUGUGCAGGCUGCCUCAGUGCGGUCUGCUCCCCUGAAAUGUAUUAGCGAGUUCCAACUGGGCUCCGUCUAUUGGUGUGAUAAUUAUCUACGCCGUGGAUUGGGCUUAGACUUGCUUCUAACCGUCCGCAAGGACAAUCUUUUGACAAUUUGACCUCAAAUCAGGUAGGACUACCCGCUGAACUUAA